rnacentral:rRNA from 1 species
UUGUAACACAGUGCAAAAGGCCUGUGUAUGACGUGGGGUGAGAGGUUUAUCCGGAGUGACGGGGAGGAAAGCGUGCGCAGGCGGUUUUGUAAUACAGGCGUGAAAUCCCCGGGCUUAACCUGGGAACUGCGUUUGUGACUGCAAGACUAGAGGACGGCAGAGGGGGGUGGAAUUCCACGUGUAGCAGUGAAAUGCGUAGAGAUGUGGAGGAACACCAAUGGCGAAGGCAGCCCCCUGGGUCGAUACUGACGCUCAUGCACGAAAGCGUGGGUAGCAAACAGGAUUAGAUACCCUUGUAGUC